rnacentral:sRNA from 1 species
UGCUGAAUACAUCUUCUUCCCGUUGAUAUAGAGACCAAGCAAUCUGAUAUGGUCUGCAUGUUGAGUGCGGCAAAAACUAGAAGCCCAUAUGAACAGUGGGAGUAAGGGAACGAACAUGCCAUCCAUGGGAAGACUCUGAUAACUCUCUCUCGCCCGGGCUGUAAAGGGUAAGCACUGUUGUGCAUAUAUAUGAAAGGAAGGUGAUAAAGCAGGGAUGCUAAAUUGCUACUGGGAUCCUUAAAGGCUUAUAGUGGUCACCAGUGGAAUGUGCCUUAAUAAUUUGGUUACCUAGCAGAGCAAGUUUUUGCAGGUUAUUAGGUAAUAUCUUUGAGGGAAUGAACUUAGAUUUCAUUGUUUUAAGGUCUGGUCACACAACGGGUAGUAGUUCUGGAGCGGCAAAAGACGACCUUGUUUUACACUACCAAGGGAGGUUAACUCUAGUUUUCAUGUGACCACUUACCUUGAGAGUUGAGACCAUGGAAUCACUUGUCGACUCCUCGGCUUGUAUAUUUCUAGUGUCAGCAUUUGCAUUCUCCUCCACACUUGUACUUGAAGAGUUGAAGACAACUUUUUUGUUUGUGU